GAGUCUCUAGCACGACUGACAUACUGACUAAAAAGAUCUACAAAGAAGACGCUACAGGCUCGGCCGUGGUACUCCAUGACGGCGACCACGGUGACUUGAGUCUCUAGCACGACUGACAUACAGACUUAAAAGAUCUGCAAAAUAGAUGCUACAGGAUCGACAGUGGGUGACCACAGCUGUUAGAGCCUCUGGUGCAACAAUAAUGAACGUGGCCUGCAAGACAUUACCAGAGCUACUGGUGUGGCCGCAGCACGGAGUCACCAGAGAAGGAAGAGGCUCUUGGAGUCAAACCCAGUGUACUGGCUGUAGACAAAAUGGGCUUCAUAAGGGGAAUCACCGCUAACAUGAUGUCAGAUGAAGAAGACAAUGCCAAUGAUGGAGUAUCGGGUUGUGAGACCGUCAUCAUCUCCAGCUGCGACUGUGUGUGUUCGAGCUAUGCAGCGUUGAAUUGCUGUCUAACAGAAUGCCACCGCUUACCUACGACCCCGAGACAGCAAAAUAAACACAUUUGAUGCCAAAUGUGAUCCCAAGAACAUAAUCUCUGGCUAUUUUUUACUUUUUAUGUGUUUAUUUUUCCUAUACUUAAUUAAUAAAACUCUUACAUUUUAUCAACAUUUUUCUCCCAAAUGUCUGUUUUCUUUUCUUAUAAUAUAUCUUAUAUAAUAUAUUUAAUGUAAACCGUGAUUUUA